ensembl:lncRNA
AUGAAAAGGAGAGAGGGAGAGAGAUUGAGAAAGUCCAAGGAAACAGGCAAGACACAGAGGAGUCCGGAGACCAGCCCCCUGUUCCACGCCCCCGCCGCCACGCAUGAGUUCCCGCGCGCGCGCGCGCACACACACGGACUUAGAUUCUCCCCAUUUGAGCGGCUUUCCUCCAACUGUUUGGCUACCUGGCAGGAUGCUCUGGGGUAACUGAGACUGAAGAAGUCCCCUGUUUCAUCCACCACUGCAGCUGUGAGAGGGGGCUGGGGCCAUGGGCGGGAGGAUUUUUGGACCAUGAUUAGAGGCAGACACCCCAUCUUUACAAAAUUAAAUGGUAAGCCUCCUCUUCAUUUGCCACAAUUGUCUGUCUCUGUUGUUUGUUGAAUUCCAUUUACCCAACAGUUUUCCAUCUUUAUCUUUUCCCUGCAGUAAAUGCAAUGGAAGGCCGGGCGCAGUGGUUCACGCCUGUAAUCCCAGCAAUUUGGGGGGCUGAUGCGGGUGGAUCACGUGAGGUCAGGAGUUCGAGACCAGCCUUGCCAACAUGGUAAAACCCUGUCUCUACUAAAAAUACAAAAAUUAGCCGGGUGUGGUGACACAUGCCUGUAGUCCCAGCUACUUGGGAGGCUGAGGCAGGAGAAUUGCUUGAACCUGGGAGGCGGAGGUUGCAGUGAGCUGAGAUCGAGCCACUGCACUGCAGCUUGGGUGUCAGAGCGAGACUCUGUCUCAAACAGAACAAAACAAAACAACAACAAAAAAAUGCAGCUGAAAUAAGCUCUACACAGAGGCACCUUUGGGGUGCACAUAGAAACCCAAUCAACAUCUUUCCAAGAGAUUGGUAUUUUAAAAAGAAUAAUAAGCUAUUCUCACAGGCCGAAUGAAUGUUUGACAGCCUAAUCAGUGUGCCCUAAAGCUUUUAGACAGGGCUGAUGAAUUACAGUGUAACUUCACAGAUCAACCCUUAGAUGAGAAUUUUCCCUGUGGAGUUGGCCUGUCACCAAUGAAUUGCUCAAGAAAACCCAGCCCUACUGACCCUGGCCAUCUCCUGCAGGGAGAAAUAUUUGGUGGGGUUGAGGGAUAAGAAAGUCUUCCAUUGCAAUGAAGUUGGGGAAAGGGGCUUCAUUUGGGGACCCUUUGGUCUUUGAGACUCCCUGAAAAUUAUCUCCCGUGCCUCCUUCUUUGUUCCCACCACUUUAAGGGAGACCAUGCAGAAUGACAGAAUGAUUUAGCCUUUUGCAGUGGGCCCCCAUGGGACCCAGCAUGAUGAGAAGGCCCUAAAAACAAGACUGCCCUGGUGGAUCCCUCACCUGCCCCUACACAAGGCUGGCACUGAAGUUCUCUAGAACCUGGAGUUCAGAAGACUGGAAGCCCAAGGCUUGGAGGCCAAACAGCAAAGCUGCAUCUAAUCUCAGUCAGCUUCAGGGUCAACUGGACAGCGGGAAUCCUUUGAUUCUUUCAAUCUGGGCAUACUGACUAGGCCAUCAGGCCCACCUGGCUCAUGCUGGUCAUGCCAGUGCCUCAGCAGCUGGGAGCAUGUGCUUAGAGCCAUUAAGGGUGAGUGCAGCAGGCCGUGCUGUGGAAGGGGCUGGAACAGUUUUCCCUGUCGUUUAUGCUGAAGCCUUACCUAGGCGGUCUUUCAAGGGUGUCCACAGCCACCUGGGCAUUGUCUCCAUCCUUCUCCUCGAGGAUUAUGAAUCAGUGAUCUCUGAGUUUAUCCCCCAAUCAGGUCCCUUCUGAAAGUGAAGGAGGCCUCGUUAAUUAUGACCUUCGGUCAGUAAGCACACACGGAGACUGUCCCGGGCCAACUGAAUGUAUGUCACCCUAAUUAUAAAGGCUGGAAAAGGGAACAAAGGUGACUCAUUAAUGAGGCCUUAUAGUCUCCACCCAGUGGAGGACUGUCCCUGAGCCUCGUACAUUCCAAGGACAAUGAGCAUGCUUCUGUUAUGUAACAUUCCAGAUGCUGCCGCGUCCAGUGUACACAGCACUCCAGUUGCUGGUCUGGGAAUGCCCUUAACAUAAGGAAAGCCUUGGCACCAGCCAGAGAAGAUCAUGCUUUUCUAAGUCAAGGUUAUAAUUAUGCAUUUCGAAAGCCUCCUUCCUGUAAUUGUUCUGAUGUUCAUGGCAGGCCUGCAUGCAGGUGGUGCACCUAGAAGCUGCUGUCUAUCACCAUCGCCUCUUGACAGCAUUCCUCUCUGAUUAUGCAGGGAGCACAGGCUUUGACUGGCAAAUUGAUCCCAAGAGGCUUAGCAUGGGAAAGAAAUAGCUAGUACUUUCCAGAAACCAUCCCACCAUCUUCAACAGGAUGAAGGAAGCCCUGGCUUUGCUGACUUCCCAAGAAGGGUUCCAAGAGCUUGCUUAACAUCUCGGAAAACAAACCUCUGCAUGCACUGAUGAAGGAAGCAAAAUACAGCCUGUACAGGCCGGGCGCGGUGGCUCACGCCUGUAAUCCCAGUACUUUGGGAGGCCGAGACAGGUGGGUUGCCUGAGCUCAGGAGUUCGAGACCAGCCUGGGCAACAUGGUGAAACCCCAUCUCUACUAAAAAUACAAAAAAAUAGCCAGCUGUGGGCAUGUGCCUGUAAUCCCAGCUACUCGGGAGACGGAGACACGAGAACUGCUUGCAUCUAGGGGGGCAGAGGUUGCAGUGAGCUGAGAUUGCGCCACUACACUCCAGCCUGGGAAACAGAGUGAGACUCCGUCCCGCCCCCCCGCAAGAAAAAAAUACAGCCUGGACGAUCACUAGGCUACCUGUCCUGAGGGAUUAUGGGCAAAUUCCAGACUCUGUCCUACUCUGGAAGGAAUACCUUUCAGGAGUUGGAAGGAUGCCUUUCAAAUCACGCCUGGUCCUCAUUGCAUUAAAUUAAACAAAGUUAGGUGGAGGAGCACCGUCAAGGAGCUGGUAUCCCUGUGCAAGAGCAGACGUGGCUGUUGUCAAGGAGGUAAUAAGCUCUCUGGCAGGAUGAGAAGCAAUAUUUAUUUUAUCCACCCACAGGAUAAAAGAGUAUGUAUUUAAUGAAAUAAUUUAUGCUGAGUGAAUGCGAAUUAUCUUCUCUAACUGCAGGCAAUUAAUAUCUUCACUGAUAAGGAUAGGACCCCAGGCUGGCUUGCCUCAAACGGACCUUUAGCUCCAGCAGUUCAUCCUUCUAUUAUGUACAUAAUCCCUGGAUUACAUAAACCCACCUGCACUUACACCCACCAGCUCCACCCACCCUUGCCAAAGCUGUCACUAUGAGAAGAAUUAAAACCUUUGCAGAUACAUUCUGAUCCAAUGCCAGAAAAAAGGCAGCAGCUUGGAACGUCAGGAACAACUUCGGGAAUCUGACCUUCGGGACAUUCCCCAGGCUGCCCUGACCCUCGUCUGGAUAUGCCCUGACUAAAAAUACUUUCCUGUAUUGCACUGAAAACAUUUUCACCUCAUUUGUUAUACUGCCUGAGAUCCCAUCAGCUGGAGAUUAGACUGACAAGCAUCUUCUUAAAACUGUGAAUCAUGGCCAGAUGCCUGUAAUCCCAGCACUUUGGGAGGCCGAGGUGGGCAGAUCCCUUGAGCUCGGGAAUUCAAGACCAGCCAGGGCAACAUAGUGAGACAUCCUAUCUUUAGAAAUAAAAAAUAGGCCGGGCACGGUGGCUCA